AACACCGAUGGCGAAGGCAGAUCUCUGGGCCGUAACUGACGCUGAGGAGCGAAAGGGUGGGGAGCAAACAGGCUUAGAUACCCUGGUAGUCCACCCCGUAAACGUUGGGAACUAGUUGUGGGGUCCAUUCCACGGAUUCCGUGACGCAGCUAACGCAUUAAGUUCCCCGCCUGGGGAGUACGGCCGCAAGGCUAAAACUCAAAGGAAUUGACGGGGACCCGCACAAGCGGCGGAGCAUGCGGAUUAAUUCGAUGCAACGCGAAGAACCUUACCAAGGCUUGACAUAUACGAGAACGGGCCAGAAAUGGUCAACUCUUUGGACACUCGUAAACAGGUGGUGCAUGGUUGUCGUCAGCUCGUGUCGUGAGAUGUUGGGUUAAGUCCCGCAACGAGCGCAACCCUCGUUCUAUGUUGCCAGCACGUAAUGGUGGGAACUCAUGGGAUACUGCCGGGGUCAACUCGGAGGAAGGUGGGGAUGACGUCAAAUCAUCAUGCCCCUUAUGUCUUGGGCUUCACGCAUGCUACAAUGGCCGGUACAAAGGGCUGCAAUACCGUGAGGUGGAGCGAAUCCCAAAAAGCCGGUCCCAGUUCGGAUUGAGGUCUGCAACUCGACCUCAUGAAGUCGGAGUCGCUAGUAAUCGCAGAUCAGCAACGCUGCGGUGAAUACGUUCCCGGGUCUUGUACACACCGCCCGUCAAGUCAUGAAAGUCGGUAACACCUGAAGCCGGUGGCCUAACCCUUGUGGAGGGAGCCGUCGAAUAUGAUACGAACGGCCCC
rnacentral:rRNA from 1 species